UACGUAGGUGGCAAGCGUUGUCCGGAUUUACUGGGCGUAAAGAGCGCGCAGGCGGUCGUUCAAGUCGCGUGUGAAAGCCCCCGGCUCAACUGGGGAGGGUCACGCGAUACUGAUCGACUCGAAGGCAGGAGAGGGAAGUGGAAUUCCCGGUGUAGUGGUGAAAUGCGUAGAUAUCGGGAGGAACACCAGUGGCGAACGCGACUUCCUGGCCUGUUCUUGACGCUGAGGCGCGAAAGCUAGGGGAGCAAACGGG
rnacentral:rRNA from 1 species